CAUGCAACUUGAGGGAAAGAAGGAAAACUAAAAAUAUUCCUGCAUGGAUGUUCCAAAUAUUUUAUGAGAUAGAAAAAAACUCCCAUGAAUACUGAAGUUUGUAAAUGCGUAUUGAAAUUACGUGCCCCUGGAACCGGUUUUCUAAACUGACACCCCUGUGUGUUUGGGUUCCCUCUGGCUGGUGCCCUGAGCCCACCCUCGGUCGACCCAUGGGUCCCCCGCUUCCCUACUCACCAGAUGUCCUGUGUUUGCUGUGACGCUGACGGAGGAGGAGGAGGAAGAGGAGGAGGAAGAGCAGCAGGACGAAGGCCACCGAGACCCCAAUCAAAACCUCCAGGUAUCUUCCCAGACCUUGACAUGAGGACGUCAGGAGUGGGAAUGAUGUCAUUGAUGUGAGCACCUACUGUGUGCAGGCGCGAGCCAGGUCUUUCCUUCGUGACCUCCAACCCUCACAAGCAGUCGUGCAACAUGGAAUUGCCACCCGUACAACCCAUUUCACAGAUGCACAAACUGAGGCUCAGAGCAGGGAGUCGCCUGCCCCAGGCCUCCAGCGAGGAAGCGGCAGAGCUGGGAAGGGAGCCCGGGAGUCUGACCUGCAGCCCUUGUUCCUGCACCAGAGCCGAGACCCGGAGCUGCAGGGAAAGAGCCUGACCGUCCUGAACCACGGCCCUGCUCCCCUCCCCUGCCCCAGGUCACCGUCACUGCUGCAGGCGGGAGCCUCUGAUUCCUGGCGGAGAGCCACAGUGAGCCCAGCAGAACCCAUCUGAGCGCCAGCAUCCAGCCCGGUCAGGAGGAUUUGCUGCCCCCUCCUGGUGGAAUGCGCGCCAUGUCGUCAAGCGGCCACCAGAUGACUCGCUCGCUGGUCCACUCAAAGGCAUCACAUCCAGAGCGCUCUGCUGGUCACAGCCAGUUCUGUUCUUCAGGGUCAAGCAUCAUGUAAGUUCCCAUGUAGGAAAGGAAUCCGGAAUGAACAGCAGCUGCACACAAAUGCCUUUCUCUGAUUUCCACCUCAGAGGGGUCCAGGAGGUGAUCAGGCACAUGGAGCAUUGUCACAUUUGGUACCAAUCCCAGUGUGAUCCCUAAAACACCACCUGAUUGGGUUGAGCCUCAUCUCUGAAAUAACCAAGCCCUGUGUGAUCCCUAAACCACCACCUGAUUGGGUGGAACCUCAUUUCUGGAAUAACCAAGCCCUGUGUGAUCCCUAAACCACCGCCUGAUUGGAUGGAACCUCAUCUCUGGAAUAACCAAGCCCUGUGUGAUCAUCCUAAACCACCACCUGAUUGGGUUGAACCUCAUGUCUGAAAUAACCCCAAGGCCAUGUUGGUGUCCUUCAUCCCAGUUCUGGUGGUUUCAACAUAAUGAAAUCAGAAAGUUAUAUGGCCACUUAAAAAUGUCAAGUGCAUGUCAUGAAGUACUGGACAAGGUGUUUCCCUUUCUGAGGCCCAUUCUUACCUGGGUAAGUGGCUCAUUGUCUGCGUGGACUCAGGUGAGGUUGAUCAGGCAGGUGGGUGUCAUGUUGUGAAUGAAACACAAAGUCAACCUGUGAGAUCAUUGCUCUGACAGGUCAAGAACCACCUGGUUUGCCAUUUAGUGGCCAGUGCAGCCUGUGGCAUUCACCACCACACUUCAAUCUCAGCUCCCUAAAUGGCAUGACAAAUAAAGAUAGAUAGGUACAAAAACAGAGAUAUGCUAUUCCCUGGUUAAAAUGGCUGUUAUCUCUAAGACAAAAAUUAACAGAUGCUGUCAAGGAUAUGGAGAAAAGAAACCCUUCUACCUUGGUGGGAACGCAAGUUGGUGCAGCCAAUAUGGAAAACAGCAUGGAGGUUCCUCAAGAAACUGAAAGUAGAACAACCACACCAUCCAGUAAUCGCACAGAUGGGUAUAUUUCCAAAAGAAAGAAAAUCAGUAUAUCAAAGAGGUGUCUGCAUUGCCAUGUUUAUUGCAGCAG